AUUGAACGCUGGCGGCAGGCCUAACACAUGCAAGUCGAGCGGAUGAAGGGAGCUUGCUCCUGGAUUCAGCGGCGGACGGGUGAGUAAUGCCUAGGAAUCUGCCUGGUAGUGGGGGAUAACGUCCGGAAACGGGCGCUAAUACCGCAUACGUCCUGAGGGAGAAAGUGGGGGAUCUUCGGACCUCACGCUAUCAGAUGAGCCUAGGUCGGAUUAGCUAGUUGGUGGGGUAAAGGCCUACCAGGGCGACGAUCCGUAACUGGUCUGAGAGGAUGAUCAGUCACACUGGAACUGAGACACGGUCCAGACUCCUACGGGAGGCAGCAGUGGGGAAUAUUGGACAAUGGGCGAAAGCCUGAUCCAGCCAUGCCGCGUGUGUGAAGAAGGUCUUCGGAUUGUAAAGCACUUUAAGUUGGGAGGAAGGGCAGUAAGUUAAUACCUUGCUGUUUUGACGUUACCUACAGAAUAAGCACCGGCUAACUUCGUG
rnacentral:rRNA from 1 species